CCACCUACGGGAGGCAGCAGUGGGGAAUAUUGCACAAUGGGGGAAACCCUGAUGCAGCGACGCCGCGUGGGUGAAGAAGUAUUUCGGUAUGUAAAGCCCUAUCAGCAGGGAAGAAAGAAGACGGUACCUGACUAAGAAGCCCCGGCUAACUACGUGCCAGCAGCCGCGGUAAUACGUAGGGGGCGAGCGUUAUCCGGAUUCACUGGGUGUAAAGGGAGCGUAGACGGCCGUGCAAGCCAGGAGUGAAAGCCCGGGGCCCAACCCCGGGACUGCUCUUGGAACUGUGCGGCUAGAGUGCGGGAGGGGCAGGCGGAAUUCCUGGUGUAGCGGUGAAAUGCGUAGAUAUCAGGAGGAACACCGGCGGCGAAGGCGGCCUGCUGGACCGCGACUGACGUUGAGGCUCGAAAGCGUGGGGAGCGAACAGGAUUAGAUACCCCAGUA
rnacentral:rRNA from 1 species